GACGAACGUUGGCGGCGUGCUUAACACAUGCAAGUCAAGGGGAAAGGUUGUCUUCGGACGGCCGAGUAUACUGGCGAACGGGUGAGUAACGCGUAGGUAACUUGCCUAUCAGUCUGGGAUAACACUGCUAACGCGGUGCUAAUACCGGGUAUACUGCAUAGCUCGCAUGUUUUUUGCAGGAAAGCGGGCCUCUGGAACAAGCUCGUGCUGAUAGAUAGACCUGCGUCCCAUUAGUUAGUUGGUAGGGUAACGGCCUACCAAGGCAGCGAUGGGUAGCCGGCCUGAGAGGGUGACCGGCCACACUGGGACUGAGAUACGGCCCAGACUCCUACGGGAGGCAGCAGUGAGGAAUAUUGCGCAAUGGACGAAAGUCUGACGCAGCAACGCCGCGUGAGGGAUGAAGCUUUUCGGAGUGUAAACCUCUGUUAGGAGGGAAGAACGUCUAUUAUUCGAACAGGGUGAUAGAGUGACGGUACCUCCAGAGAAAGCCCCGGCUAACUCCGUGCCAGCAGCCGCGGUAAUACGGGGGGGGCGAACGUUGUCCGGAAUUAUUGGGCGUAAAGGGCGCGUAGGCGGGAAGGUCAGUCAGAGGUGAAAGCUUGUGGCUUAACUGCAAGUUUGCCUUUGAUACUGCCAUUCUUGAAUUCGGAAGAGGGAAGUGGAAUUCCUGGUGUAGCGGUGAAAUGCGUAGAUAUCAGGAAGAACACCGGUGGCGAAGGCGGCUUCCUGGUCCGAUACUGACGCUGAUGCGCGAAAGCGUGGGGAGCAAACAGGAUUAGAUACCCUGGUAGUCCACGCUGUAAACGAUGGGUACUACGUGUUGGGUUUAAUUACUCAGCGCCGGAGCUAACGCAUUAAGUACCCCGGCUGGGGAGUACGAUCGCAAGAUUGAAACUCCAAGGAAUUGACGGGGUGCCGCACAAGCGGUGGAGCAUGU
rnacentral:rRNA from 1 species